rnacentral:rRNA from 1 species
UACGUAGGGCGCAAGCGUUGUCCGGAAUUAUUGGGCGUAAAGAGCUCGUAGGCGGUUUGUCGCGUCUGCUGUGAAAACCUAAGGCUCAACCUUGGGCUUGCAGUGGGUACGGGCAGACUAGAGUGCGGUAGGGGGUGACUGGAAUUCCUGGUGUAGCGGUGGAAUGCGCAGAUAUCAGGAGGAACACCGAUGGCGAAGGCAGGUCACUGGGCCGCAACUGACGCUGAGGAGCGAA